rnacentral:lncRNA from 1 species
AGAUCAUUAGGUUGGAUUGUGACAGAUUAAGUGGUAUCAGAACAUAGGUUAAAAGAUCCUAUAAUAUAAGUUAGUUAGUGAGAGUGGGAUAGAAUUUAGGAUGAGGCUGGAUGACUGUAAUCAUUGAUAAUCGAUAAUUAUAUUAAAAUUGAUUUCUUUCUUUUUAAAUAGGUCGUGAUGGCUCAAAACUAAUUUGGAUGGCUGUCCGAUACUGUGGAGGACUUUCGUAUGGCAGAUACAUGUUGUACUUAUCAGAAUGGAUAUGCCUCUCAAACUCAUGGUGUUACUCGGACAGCUGGUGCUUCUCAAGCUGAUGCCAUCUUUCGACCAACU